rnacentral:rRNA from 1 species
UACGGAGGGUGCAAGCGUUGUUCGGAAUCACUGGGCGUAAAGGGCGUGUAGGCGGUCCGCUAAGUCUGAUGUGAAAGCCCGGGGCUCACCCCCCGGAAGGGCAUUGGAAACUGGCGGACUCGAGUCCCGGAGAGGAAGGUGGAAUUCCUGGUGUAGCGGUGAAAUGCGUAGAUAUCAGGAGGAAUACCGGUGGCGAAGGCGGCCUUCUGGACGGUGACUGACGCUGGAGACGCGAAAGCGUGGGGAGCAAACAGG